UGGGGAAUCUUCCACAAUGGGCGAAAGCCUGAUGGAGCAACGCCGCGUGUGUGAUGAAGGGUUCCGGCUCGUAAAACACUGUUGUAAGAGAAGAAUGACAUUGAGAGUAACUGUUCAAUGUGUGACGGUAUCUUACCAGAAAGGAACGGCUAAAUACGUGCCAG
rnacentral:rRNA from 1 species